rnacentral:rRNA from 1 species
AGUCGAACGAUGAUCCCAGCUUGCUGGGGGAUUAGUGGCGAACGGGUGAGUAACACGUGAGUAACCUGCCCUUGACUCUGGGAUAAGCCUGGGAAACCGGGUCUAAUACUGGAUAUGACCUUCUGGCGCAUGCCAUGUUGGUGGAAAGCUUUAUUGCGGUUUUGGAUGGACUCGCGGCCUAUCAGCUUGUUGGUGGGGUAAUGGCCUACCAAGGCGACGACGGGUAGCCGGCCUGAGAGGGUGGACGGCCACACUGGGACUGAGACACGGCCCAGACUCCUACGGGAGGCAGCAGUGGGGAAUAUUGCACAAUGGGCGCAAGCCUGAUGCAGCGACGCCGCGUGGGGGAUGAAGGCCUUCGGGUUGUAAACCUCUUUCAGUAGGGAAGAAGCGAAAGUGACGGUACCUGCAGAAGAAGCGCCGGCUAACUACGUGCCAGCAGCCGCGGUAAUACGUAGGGCGCAAGCGUUAUCCGGAAUUAUUGGGCGUAAAGAGCUCGUAGGCGGUUUGUCGCGUCUGCCGUGAAAGUCCGGGGCUUAACUCCGGAUCUGCGGUGGGUACGGGCAGACUAGAGUGAUGUAGGGGAGACUGGAAUUCCUGGUGUAGCGGUGAAAUGCGCAGAUAUCAGGAGGAACACCGAUGGCGAAGGCAGGUCUCUGGGCAUUAACUGACGCUGAGGAGCGAAAGCAUGGGGAGCGAACAGGAUUAGAUACCCUGGUAGUCCAUGCCGUAAACGUUGGGCACUAGGUGUGGGGGACAUUCCACGUUUUCCGCGCCGUAGCUAACGCAUUAAGUGCCCCGCCUGGGGAGUACGGCCGCAAGGCUAAAACUCAAAGGAAUUGACGGGGGCCCGCACAAGCGGCGGAGCAUGCGGAUUAAUUCGAUGCAACGCGAAGAACCUUACCAAGGCUUGACAUGAACUGGAACAGCGCAGAGAUGUGUUGGCCGCUUGCGGCCGGUUUACAGGUGGUGCAUGGUUGUCGUCAGCUCGUGUCGUGAGAUGUUGGGUUAAGUCCCGCAACGAGCGCAACCCUCGUUCUAUGUUGCCAGCGCGUUAUGGC